ACCCACGUCAUUUCCCGCGUCAAAAUGGCAGACAACCGGAGAAAUAUGCGGUUAUUAUACCUUGGACAAAUGUGUGCCAUAGGAGAAAAGUGGUCCACUGACGAAAGGAGGAGUGAUUCUUUCGUUACUGGUUCAAUGACAAUACGCAAUAAUUGACGGACUCAUUAAAUCUCUGGUGGAUUUAAGCAGUGGUGAUGUCUUGGAGGAAUUUUGAGGAUCUGAAGAGAUUUGCCAAAAAAA